CCUGUCUUGGUGCUUUUGUGCAGUGUGCAAACUGCACAACAGUACUUGGAGGCCCUGCGGGGGCCUUGUUUGUUUCCCUCUGCCUGGGGUAAGGCUGUGUCCUGCAUCUCAGUUCUGAGCCAAUCAAUCUUUCCUUUAGAGACCUGCUGGGGAAAAUUCUAGGUUUGAUCCAAGUGUGGCAACAGAAUCUCUGUAGGGUGGAAAUGCAAUGCAUUUGGCCAGGUCUGGUGAAGUGUUUGGUUCAGUUUGCUUUUUGAUUUAUCUUUAGCUUCCAAGACAGUCUCAUCUGUGUCGUGUUCCCUGAGAGAGACCCUCCAGAUGCUGGGAAGGCAGAAGGGCCAUUUAGAGGUAGUGGGUGCAGCUGACAGGACCCUCAAUGGGGAGGAGGCAGAGGAGGCCUUGGUGGGCCUGUGGCAGGGGGGCCUGGGGCAGGGGAGGCAGGGGCAGGCACUGCCCUCCGUGGUUGGCAGCCGGCCAGGCCCUGGGGCUGCAGGCUUAGGUCCAGAGUUCAGAGGCAGCACUACAGGUGACAUACACGUAGUUUCGCCAAAAGCCUGGGGCUUGCAUGGCUGCUCUGCGGCUCUGCUCAUCAGCUUGUGAAAGGCUUCUCACGUGGCUUGCGAGCUCUUGAUGGUCGUCUCCCAGCCUCCAGCAGGCGGGGACCGCCUGGCAGCAAGAAGAGUGUGGCCUUCCGUCAGAACCAGAAAACCGCCAAUUAGGGAGAGGCCUCCCCUUGGCUCUCUCUCCCUGCAUCUCUAAGAACCUCCAGGUGACCUUCUGGCCCAGCUGGCCCAGCUGCAUCCAUGGAGAAGAGGUGUGGGAAUCUGCAGCCUUCACGUCACACUAGAAUUCAACAUGUGCCGCUUUUCCCAGGAAAAGUCAUAUUUGGUUUCGGUUCAUAAUAUAUUGAGUUCGUGUAAUGGGAACACCCAUGCUCUUUGGUGGCCAGAGUCAGAGGCUUGGAAGUACAUUUUGAGGAGCGGCCAGAGGGAGGAGGAGGGGACCAGGGGAACCCCAUCUUUUUUUUUUUUUUCUGCUUUUUAGGGCUGCAUCUGCAGCAUUUGGAAGUUCCCAGGCCAGGGGUAGAAUUCAGGCUGCAGCUGCUGGCCUGCACCACAGCCACAGCAAUGUAGGAUCUGAGCCACGUCUGUGACCUACAUCACAGCUCAUGGCAAUGCCAGAUCCUUAACCCACUGAGCGGUGCCAGAGAUCGAACCCACAACCUCACGGAUCCUAGUCAGGUUCGUCAACUACUGAGCCAUGAAGGGAACUCCUAAGAACCCCAUCUUGACUGUAGUAACAGACACAGAAAUACUCUAGAGUGGGCUGGCUACACUUACUAGGAAAUAAGUGGCCAUAAAUCAUCAUUAGUGUGACAAAGGACAGAGGCUCAUGCCACUGUGGCUGGUAGGUCAGGAGAAGACAGAACAAUAAGGUCCUUCUCUGGGCCCAGGCCCAGAAGUGGGUCCCCUGGGAGAACAUGUGUGCCAGAAGGAAGGACUGGUCUGGGCAUUCCGGGUGGCCACCAGACAUGGAACUUACCUGUGGCGGGAGAGAGAGACGCUCCUACCUGUGGCCUGGAGGCUGGACACGCCUUCCA
rnacentral:lncRNA from 1 species